GACGUAGGGAGCAAGCGUUGUCCGGAAUCAUUGGGCGUAAAGCGCGUGUAGGCGGUCCGGUAAGUCCGCUGUGAAAGUCGGGGGCUCAACCCUCGGAUGCCGGUGGAUACUGUCGGGCUUGAGUACGGAAGAGGCGAGUGGAAUUCCUGGUGUAGCGGUGAAAUGCGCAGAUAUCAGGAGGAACACCAAUUGCGAAGGCAGCUCGCUGGGACGUUACUGACGCUGAGACGCGAAAGCGUGGGGAGCAAACAGG
rnacentral:rRNA from 1 species